GGGAGGGGGAGGGACGCACACUCUGUAAACAGAAAUAGGUGCAUCACCGGUCACUGAGCUGGCAAGCUAAAGUUAGCUAGUUAGUCACAUAAAUGUACGUUCAGCCUUUAAGUAUUUAGCCUUUAAGUAUUUAUCUUAUGAAGUCAGCAUGGCUUAACAUAGUUUCUUUCGUCUUUGACCUCGACAUUGUUGCUGGAUAGAUACUUUCAUACCUAACAUGCUGGCGCUGCUAGCUAGCUAAUGCUAACGGCGCUAGCUAAACUCAUAUCUGGAUGCACUCUAGUUCCCGAGAGAGCAGCAUACUGGCCCUACAUUCCCAAACCUGAAGCCCCCUGUACCCAGUAGGAAAGACCAGGGAAAAGUGUUAGUUUAAGGUACAACUUCCUAUUGAGGAAAUAUAAGACAACUCAAUGUCACAUUUAGAUUUAGAGUUACUGACAUGAAUAGAAGCAUAUACAAGCAAUCUAUCAAAUGUAUUUUAUAAAAACCCAUUUUACAUCAGCAGUAGUGCUUAUACAGAUACCCAGCCUAAAACCCCAAAGAGCAAGCAAUGCAGACGUAGAAGCACAGUGGCUAGGAAAAACUCCCCAGAAAGGCAGGAACCUAGGAAGAAACCUAGAGAGGAACCAGGCUCUGAGGGUUGGCCAGUCCUCUUCUGGCUGUGCAGGUGGAGAUUAUAAAAGAGUACAGCUAUUUAGCCAGAUUAUUCUUCAAGACGUUUAAAUGUUCAUAGAUGACCAGCAGUGUCAAAUAAGAGGGUUAUAGAGGGUGCAAUAGUUCAGCAACUCAGGAGUAAAUGCCAGUUGGCUCUUCAUAGCUGAGCAUUUAGAUGUUGAGACAGUAGGUCCGGUAGAGGGAGACAGUGUCAAACAGCGGGUCUGGGACAAGUUAGUAUCUCCGAUGAGCCUUUAGCAGGUCAGGGUUCCAUAGCUGCAGACAUAAACAGCAGAGACUGGAUGAGCAGCACGACUAGGUGGACUGGAGACAGGGACAGCCAGGAGUCGUCAGGCCAGGUAGUCCUGAGGCAUGGUCUUAGAGCUCAUGUCCUGCAUCCUUUAUUUAAAUUGAGCGUAGACUAAGCCCUAGAGGUUUGUAACUUCACAUGAUUUAGCCUACUUGUCAAUCCAGAUCCUCUUUACUGUACAUGGUUGAAAGUAAUUUUUCCCAGGCUAAUCACCGAAUGGCCUACUACAAGGGUGUGGUCAGGGUGUGGUCGCAAUAACAUCAGCGACAGCCCCGAAACCUGAAGGAUCUGGAGAAGGUCUGUAUGGAGGAGUGGGCCAAAAUCCCUGCUGCAGUGUGUGCAAACCUGGUCAAGAACUACAGGAAACGUAUGAUCUCUGUAAUUGCAAACAAAGGUUUCUGUACCAAAUAUUAAGUUCUGCUUUUCUGGUGUAUCAAAUACUUAUGUCAUACAAUAAAAUGCAAAUGAAUUACUUAAAAAUCAUACAAUGUGAUUUUCUGGAUUUUUGUUUUAGAUUCUGUCUCUCACAGUUGAAUUGUAAAAAUUACAGACCUCUACAUGCUUUGUAAGUAGGAAAAUCGGCAGUGUAUCAAAUACUUGUUCUCCCCACUGUACUUACUGUCACUUUGUGCAUCUCUCUUUCAGAUCUGCCAUGCACUCCACCACUGCCUGACAGACUCACCCAGAAGUGCGUACACUGGGCCUAUUAAGACUGACAAGCAGAGAUGGGUGGCUGACAAGGAAAAAUAAAACAACAUGCGCUCACACACAUUAUCCACAAUGUAAAUAAGUUGUAAUUACUUGUUUAUUUAAUGUUUGGUCCAUUUUAUUUUAGUAUUGGAGAUAUCUACUCCUUCAUAUCCAUUCUCAAUAUCUACAUAAUUACUCUAAAUAUCUAUUAAAUCAAAGUGUGAUUGAUAAUAUUGUAAAAGACUAUGGCUUAAUGUUUACAGUUUGAGGAAAUUCUGUGUGCUUUUUUCUGAGUUGAAAAACAUGUCUCCCUCUCACACACCCACAUUAGACACAAUGUAAAAAAAAAUGUACUAACUUGUUUAUUUUAUGUAUGCUACAUUUUAUUUGAGGAAAAUAUCUUCAAUAAACUACAAUCACAGUUAAA